rnacentral:rRNA from 1 species
UGGGGAAUUUUGGACAAUGGGCGAAAGCCUGAUCCAGCAAUGCCGCGUGUGUGAAGAAGGCCUUCGGGUUGUAAAGCACUUUUGUCCGGAAAGAAAUCCUUGGCUCUAAUACAGUCGGGGGAUGACGGUACCGGAAGAAUAAGCACCGGCUAACUACGUGCCAGCAGCCGCGGUAAUACGUAGGGUGCAAGCGUUAAUCGGAAUUACUGGGCGUAAAGCGUGCGCAGGCGGUUUGCUAAGACCGAUGUGAAAUCCCCGGGCUCAACCUGGGAACUGCAUUGGUGACUGGCAGGCUAGAGUAUGGCAGAGGGGGGUAGAAUUCCACGUGUAGCAGUGAAAUGCGUAGAGAUGUGGAGGAAUACCGAUGGCGAAGGCAGCCCCCUGGGCCAAAUACUGACGCUCAUGCACGAAAAGCGUGGGGAGCAAAACAGGAUUAGAUACCCUGGUAGUCCACGCCCUAAAACGAUGUCAACUAGUUGUUGGGGAUUCAUUUCCUUAGUAACGUAGCUAACGCGUGAAGUUGACCGCCUGGGGAGUACGGUCGCAAGAUUAAAAACUUAAAGGAAUUGACGGGGUCAUAGCUGUUUCCU